CCUCUUCUGCCCCACAAAUACCACACCGGAGAUCACACUCUAUACCACGAGCCUUCAUAUUUUUUGAAACAGGCAGUGUUCCAGAUAAAGUUUGCCAAAUAAAAUGUCUUAGUUUCGGUGGGCAUUUGAGUUUCCAUGAAUGCGCCAAAAGGGGUUUAACAUUAGGUCCAUAAUUUAACACUCUUGGGCCUCGAUCCGGGUAUAAUGAUUCUGUCCUAAACCCUGAUUUAACCGAGUAUUUACCGGAGUCCGUAAACAUCCAGCCGUAUGAAUCUGGCUUUUGCGUUCUACUAACUGCUAUACCUCGAAUGAUCUUCACAUCAUCUGGAUGAAAAUAUACAUUCAGUAGAUCCUCA
rnacentral:lncRNA from 1 species